AGAGUUGAUCUGGCUCAGGAUGAACGCUAGCUACAGGCUUAACACAUGCAAGUCGAGGGGAAACGAUAUUGGAAGCUUGUCUUCCGAUAGGCGUCGAACCGGCGUACGGGUGAGUAACGCGUAUCCAACCUGCCCACCACUUGGGGAUAACCUUGCGAAAGUAAGACUAAUACCCAAUGACGUCUCUAGAAGACAUCUGAAAGAGAUUAAAGAUUUAUCGGUGAUGGAUGGGGAUGCGUCUGAUUAGCUUGUUGGCGGGGUAACGGCCCACCAAGGCGACGAUCAGUAGGGGUUCUGAGAGGAAGGCCCCCCACAUUGGAACUGAGACACGGUCCAAACUCCUACGGGAGGCAGCA
rnacentral:rRNA from 1 species